CCUACGGGAGGCAGCAGUGAGGAAUAUUGGACAAUGGGCGCAAGCCUGAUCCAGCCAUGCCGCGUGCAGGAUGACGGUCCUAUGGAUUGUAAACUGCUUUUAUACAGGAAGAAACACCUCUACGUGUAGAGACUUGACGGUACUGUAAGAAUAAGGAUCGGCUAACUCCGUGCCAGCAGCCGCGGUAAUACGGAGGAUCCAAGCGUUAUCCGGAAUCAUUGGGUUUAAAGGGUCCGUAGGCGGUUUAGUAAGUCAGUGGUGAAAGCCCAUCGCUCAACGGUGGAACGGCCAUUGAUACUGCUAGACUUGAAUUAUUAGGAAGUAACUAGAAUAUGUAGUGUAGCGGUGAAAUGCUUAGAGAUUACAUGGAAUACCAAUUGCGAAGGCAGGUUACUACUAAUUGAUUGACGCUGAUGGACGAAAGCGUGGGUAGCGAACAGGAUUAGAUACCCUGGUAGUCCACGCCGUAAACGAUGGAUACUAGCUGUUGGGAGCAAUCUCAGUGGCUAAGCGAAAGUGAUAAGUAUCCACCUGGGGAGUACGAACGCAAGUUUGAAACUCAAAGGAUUGACGG
rnacentral:rRNA from 1 species